GGGGCCAUAGCUCAAUUGGUAGAGCGCUUGCAUGGCAUGCAAGAGGUCGUCGGUUCGAUUCCGAUUGGCUCCACCA
rnacentral:tRNA from 2 species